GUAUUGGCGUUGCGUGUCAUUUCAUCUCUGCCGUUUCCCCUUUUUCUUCAUUUACCUCAGGCGGAACUUUCCGGCGAAUCAGUGUGAGAUCGCUUCGAUCUGUCGCCGGAAAGUUUCAUUUGGAUUUCGGCCGCCCAUCCUUUGAUCUUUCUGCAUUCCUCGCCCUACAAUGAAUCCCGAAUAUGACUAUCUGUUCAAGCUACUGCUUAUUGGAGAUUCAGUUGUUGGAAAAUCUUGUCUUCUUUUGAGAUUUGCUGAUGAUUCAUGUGUUGAAAGCUACAUAAGCACCAUUGGUGUUGAUUUUGAUGGGAAGACCAUUAAACUUCAAAUUGACAAUCACUAGCAGCUACUACCGUGGGGCUCAUGGCAUAAUAGUGGGUGAUCUUUUCCUUUCUAGAUCUUCUCCAUGUACUUAUUUUAUUUCUCCACUUCUUAUUUAUGAUUCUCAUAUAUAUAUAUAUGUAUACAUUUUCAAUUUUUAAUGUCAUUUUUCCCUUUUACUUGUGGCUCCUGU